GGCUUUGUGCAGUGGCAGUAUCAUAACCAAUGAGGCUUAUCUGAGGUAUGAUUAUUGCUAAUUGAAAAUUAAUGUGGGUAUAAUCUAAAAGUCAUCCACUAUAACUUUCAAAAAAUGUAUGAACUUUAAGCCAUUAC